AUGGUAUUUUUUACGAGCUACAAUUUUUGUACUCUCUACCAGAAAGUUGUUUGGCCAGCUUUGAUGUCACGCUUGCAAUAGCAGGAGAAAGAGAUCACUGGAGCCUUUUGGAUCUGAGUCAGUGGAAUCAGCUACUGUUUCUGUGUGGACCACUCUAUACUACCAGAGAUGAGGAAAGACUUGCUACGUUGGCAUAUAGCAGCGGAGGGAUACAGUCAGGAGGUGACAGGGUUAACAUCACAGGGCUGGUGGUAGGUAUCCUCUUUGGCACUGCGGCCAUAGCCCUGGUGGUCCUAGGCAGCUGGUUUGUCCUCAAGAAGUUCUACUGGACAGGCCCCAUUCCUUUGACUGACAGGUGUCUUGGCCAAUGACCAUCUACCAACCAACCUGUCCACCUCCGAGCUGCCCAAUCUGACAAGGUGUGUUUCAGAUUUCUCAUGAUGUCAAUACUUUUGUAGACAAAACAACUAGAACACCUUGAGCGUAUCCUAAGAAAAUAAGUGGACACUAGUGUCUCAUUCUACUUUUGUUUAUAGAUUAAGCUAAUUAAUUCCUGAUAUGGAAUAUCAAUUACAUGUUAUGAAGGAACAUCUGUAAACGCCUGAACCAUGUUGAUCGCAAUAUUUCACCUUUCGUACUAAUUAUAUAAUGUGGACACCUGCUCAUUGAACAUCUCCUUCCAAAAUCAUAGGCAUUAAUAUGGAGUUGGUCCCCCCCUUUGCUGAUAUAAUAACCUCCACUCUUCUGGGAAGGCUUUCCAGUAGAUGUUGGAACAUUGCUGCAGGGACCAUUCAGCCACAGGAGCAUUAGUGAUAUCGGGCACUGAUGUUGGGCGAUUAGGCCUUGCUUGCAGUCGGCGUUCCAAUUCAUCCCAAAGGUGUUCGAUGGGGUUAAGGUCAGGGCUUUGUGCAGGCCAGUCAAUUUCUUCCACACCGAUCUCAACAAACCUUUCUGUAUGAACAUCGCUUUGUGCAUGUGGGCACUCUCAUGCUGAAACAGAAAAGGGCCAUCCUCAAACUGUUGCCACAAAGUUGGAAGCACAGAAUUUUCUAUAAUAUAAUUUUAUGCUGUAGCAUUAAGAUUUCCCUUCAAAAUGCAGCGGCUCGGCCAUGGAAACCGAUUUCAUGAAGCUCUCUAAGAACGGUUCUUGUGCUAAAGUUGUUUCCAGAGGCAGUUUGGAACUCGGUAGUGAGUGCAGCAACAGAGGACAGGCGGUUUUUACACGCUACGCGCUUCAGCACUCUGUGGUACCAUUCUGUGAGCUUGUGUGGCCUAACACUUCACGGCUGAGCCGUUGUUGUUCCUAGACUUUUCCACUUCACAAUAACUGCACUUACAGUUGACCGGGGCAGCUCUAGAAGGGCAGAAAUGUGAUGAACUGACUUGACGGAAAGAUGGCUGUUACGUCCUGACCAGUUUAGAUAUUAUUUGUAUUGUAGUUUGGUCAGGACGUGUCAGAGGGUAUUUGUGUGUGAUUUGUUAGUUCUGGGUGUUGGGUAUGUUCUAGGUUGUAUUUUCUACGUUCUGUUCAGUUUUUCUAUGUUUAGGUUUGGGUGUGGACUCUCAAUUGGAGGCAGGUGUUUCUAUUUUCCUCUGAGUCCUAUAUAUAGUCGUUACAGAACUACCCACCAACAAUGGACCAAGCAGCGGAGGAGGGAACAACAGGUGGAAUAUCGUGAGUCAUGGACUUGGGAGGAGAUUCUGGCUGGAGAGGGCCCAUGGAGGAAGUCUGGGGAGGACCGGAAUCGCUACUGGGGAACACGGCUGGCGAGGAAGCCGGAGAGGCAACCCCAAUAAUUUUCUUUGGGGGGCACACGGGUAGGUUGGCUGGGCGAGGAUUAAGUCCCAAGCCAAAUCCCCAUGUUUUUUCCAAACAACCAUUGACUGGACAGGUCCCGUGCUUUGGGGUGAUGGGUGCUGUGACGAGGCCGGGUAUUUUCAGGCCGGUAUGCGCAGUACCAGCGCCCCGCAUGUGCCAGAGGAAAGUGGGCAUCCAGCCAGUAGGGGUGAUGUCAGUCCUGCGCUCGAGACCGCCAGUGCGCCUCUACGGUCCAGUGUUUCCCGUUACACGCACUAGCCUUGAGGUGCGUGUCUCCAGGCUGGCACGUCCAGUACCAACACCACGCAUCAGGCUUCCAGUGCAUCAGCCCAGUCCGACUCAGCCUGUUCCCGCUCCUCGCACUAGCCCGGAGGUGCGUGUCCCCAAACUGGCACUUCCAGUACCAGCACCACGCAUCAGGCUUCCAAUGCGUCAGACCAGGUCAGAGUGUCCGGCAACAGUGCCUCGUCCAGAGUGUCCGGCAACAGUGCCUCGUCCAGAGUGUCCGGCAACAGUGCCUCGUCCAGAGUGUCCGGCGACAGUGCCUCGUCCAGAGUGUCCGGCAACAGGUGAGACGGCGUACUGUCCGGAACCAGGGGAGACGGCCCGCGACCCGGAACCAGGGGAGACGGCCCGCGACCCGGAACCGAGUGAGUCUGCCUGCGGUCCGGAUCAGAAUGAAGUUUACUAUAACUUUGAACUAUGUGAGUCUGCCUACAGCUCGGAACUAAAUGAGUCUGCCUACGGCCCGGAACCAAGUGAAUCUGCCUACGGCCCGGAGUCAAGAAAGCCUGCCUACAGUCUGGAGGACAGUAGGCCAGAACCUAAGCCACCUCCAGUAUAGGUGGGUUGGGGAGGGGGGGGGGUGUAGCACAGGUACCGUCGUUGACGGCAGCCACCCCCCCUUCCCUCCCUUUAGUUAGGGGUUUAUUUUUUUAUUUUUUUUGAGGUGCAUCCGGGGUCUGCACCUUUAGGGGGGGGGUAGUGACACAGCCACACC
rnacentral:lncRNA from 1 species